AUUUAAGUAGUUUAAUAAAAAUAAUGAUUUGUGGUGUCAUAGAUAUAUAGUUAUCUUAAAUU
rnacentral:tRNA from 1 species